rnacentral:rRNA from 1 species
GACGAACGCUGGCGGCGUGCUUAACACAUGCAAGUCGAACGGAAAGGCCCUGCUUUUGUGGGGUGCUCGAGUGGCGAACGGGUGAGUAACACGUGAGUAACCUGCCCUUGACUUUGGGAUAACUUCAGGAAACUGGGGCUAAUACCGGAUAGGAGCUCCUGCUUCAUGGUGGGGGUUGGAAAGUUUCGGCGGUUGGGGAUGGACUCGCGGCUUAUCAGCUUGUUGGUGGGGUAGUGGCUUACCAAGGCUUUGACGGGUAGCCGGCCUGAGAGGGUGACCGGCCACAUUGGGACUGAGAUAAGGCCCAGACUCCUACGGGAGGCAGCAGUGGGGAAUAGUGCACAAUGGGCGGAAGCCUGAUGCAGCAACGCCGCGUGCGGGAUGACGGCCUUCGGGUUGUAAACCGCUUUCGCCUGUGACGAAGCGUGAGUGACGGUAAUGGGUAAAGAAGCACCGGCUAACUACGUG